rnacentral:rRNA from 1 species
AGAGUUUGAUCCUGGCUCAGGAUGAACGCUAGCUACAGGCUUAACACAUGCAAGUCGAGGGGCAGCAUGGUCUUAGCUUGCUAAGGCCGAUGGCGACCGGCGCACGGGUGAGUAACGCGUAUCCAACCUGCCUUACACUCUUGGACAGCCUUCUGAAAGGGAGAUUAAUACAAGAUGUUAUCAUGAGUAAGCAUUUUCGCAUGAUUAAAGGUUUACCGGUGUAAGAUGGGGAUGCGUUCCAUUAGAUAGUAGGCGGGGUAACGGCCCACCUAGUCUUCGAUGGAUAGGGGUUCUGAGAGGAAGGUCCCCCACAUUGGAACUGAGACACGGUCCAAACUCCUACGGGAGGCAGCAGUGAGGAAUAUUGGUCAAUGGACGAGAGUCUGAACCAGCCAAGUAGCGUGAAGGAUGAAGGUUCUAUGGAUUGUAAACUUCUUUUAUACGGGAAUAAACGGAUCCACGUGUGGAUUUUUGCAUGUACCGUAUGAAUAAGGAUCGGCUAACUCCGUGCCAGCAGCCGCGGUAAUACGGAGGAUCCGAGCGUUAUCCGGAUUUAUUGGGUUUAAAGGGAGCGUAGAUGGGUUGUUAAGUCAGUUGUGAAAGUUUGCGGCUCAACCGUAAAAUUGCAAUUGAUACUGGCAGUCUUGAGUACAGUUGAGGUAGGCGGAAUUCGUGGUGUAGCGGUGAAAUGCUUAGAUAUCACGAAGAACUCCGAUUGCGAAGGCAGCUUACUAACCUGUAACUGACAUUGAUGCUCGAAAGUGUGGGUAUCAAACAGGAUUAGAUACCCUGGUAGUCCACACGGUAAACGAUGAAUACUCGCUGUAGGCGAUAUACAGUCUGCGGCCAAGCGAAAGCAUUAAGUAUUCCACCUGGGGAGUACGCCGGCAACGGUGAAACUCAAAGGAAUUGACGGGGGCCCGCACAAGCGGAGGAACAUGUGGUUUAAUUCGAUGAUACGCGAGGAACCUUACCCGGGCUUAAAUUGCAACCGAAUAUGGCGGAAACGCUAUAGCUAGCAAUAGCGGUUGUGAAGGUGCUGCAUGGUUGUCGUCAGCUCGUGCCGUGAGGUGUCGGCUUAAGUGCCAUAACGAGCGCAACCCUUGCCGAUAGUUACUAACAGGUCAUGCUGAGGACUCUGUCGGGACUGCCAUCGUAAGAUGUGAGGAAGGUGGGGAUGACGUCAAAUCAGCACGGCCCUUACGUCCGGGGCUACACACGUGUUACAAUGGGGGGUACAGAGGGCUGCUACCACGCAAGUGGAUGCCAAUCCCAAAAACCUCUCUCAGUUCGGAUUGAAGUCUGCAACCCGACUUCAUGAAGCUGGAUUCGCUAGUAAUCGCGCAUCAGCCACGGCGCGGUGAAUACGUUCCCGGGCCUUGUACACACCGCCCGUCAAGCCAUGGGAGCCGGGGGUACCUGAAGUGCGUAACCGCAAGGAGCGCCCUAGGGUAAAACUGGUGACUGGGGCUAAGUCGUAACAAGGUAGCCGUACCGGAAGGUGCGGCUG